UGCCUCAGUAGCGGCGAGUGAAGCGGCAAGAGCUCAGAUUUGAAAUCGUGCUUUGCGGACGAGUUGUAGAUUGCAGGUUGGAGUCUGUGUGGAAGGCGGGGUCCAAGUCCCUUGAAACAGGGCGCCCAGGAGGGUGAGAGCCCCGUGGGAUGCCGGCGGAAGCUGUGAGGCCCUUCUGACGAGUCGAGUUGUUUGGGAAUGCAGCUCCAAGCGGGUGGUAAAUUCCAUCUAAGGCUAAAUACUGGCGAGAGACCGAUAGCGAACAAGUACUGUGAAGGAAAGAUGAAAAGCACUUUGAAAAGAGAGUGAAACAGCACGUGAAAUUGUUGAAAGGGAAGGGUAUUGCGCCCGACAUGGGGAAUUGCGCACCGCUGCCUCUCGUGGGCGGCGCUCUGGGCUUUCCCU
rnacentral:rRNA from 1 species